rnacentral:rRNA from 1 species
AUUGAACGCUGGCGGCAGGCCUAACACAUGCAAGUCGAGCGGAUGAGGGGUGCUUGCACCCCGAUUCAGCGGCGGACGGGUGAGUAAUGCCUAGGAAUCUGCCCGAUAGUGGGGGACAACGUUUCGAAAGGAACGCUAAUACCGCAUACGUCCUACGGGAGAAAGUGGGGGCUCUUCGGACCUCAAGCUAUCGGAUGAGCCUGGGUCGGAUUAGCUGGUUGGUGGGGUAAAGGCCCACCAAGGCGACGAUCCGUAACUGGUCUGAGAGGAUGAUCAGUCACACUGGAACUGAGACACGGUCCAGACUCCUACGGGAGGCAGCAGUGGGGAAUAUUGGACAAUGGGCGAAAGCCUGAUCCAGCCAUGCCGCGUGUGUGAAGAAGGUCUUCGGAUUGUAAAGCACUUUAAGUCGGGAGGAAGGGGUGUAGGUUAAUACCCUGCGGUUUUGACGUUACCGACAGAAUAAGCACCGGCUAACUUCGUGCCAGCAGCCGCAGUAA